rnacentral:lncRNA from 1 species
UUUCUGCAAAACCUUCCCUCCCUCCCGCUCCCCACCCUGUUUUUCCCCCUCCAUCUACCCAAAAUUUUUUUUUCCCACCAUCUUUUUCCUAUCGUCUUUUUGCAACGCCUUCUCCUGCUUGCUAUCCUCUUUUCCCUUUGGCACUAACCACCCACUUUACUCCUAACCACCCGCUUUAACCCCCUCCAUCUAUCCCAAAACUAUUUUCCUUCUCCUAUCACUCCAGCCACGCUGCCGUCUCCGUUGCCGCCACCACCAACCGCAGCCAGGCGAGCCACGUUGUCGUGGCCCCACCAUCCAGUGCACAGCCGCUGAUAACCCAUUCCUGGUUCUCUAAGCCGGGCAGUAAGCAGCUCUACAUGAAGACACGUGAACUUGCAAGGGCCUGACUUCCCUUCAGCAGCAUUCAUAUACUGAGGUUAUAUACAGGAGGAUUCCUGGACUGCACGCUCUGAUUGGAUGAGAAGGAACCUCCGGGGUUACUCGGAUUGGACUUUAUUAUCAUGUUCUGAUUGGAUAAGAGCAAGCCUUAAGACAACCAAUCACAGCAUGAAAAUAAAGUCCAAUCAGAGUAGGCCUAAAGGUUUUUCUCUCAUCCAAUCAGAACAUGUAGUCCAGGAACUGCGUGUGCCUUAACCUCGGCUAUAAAGCAUGCUGAGGCGGAGUCCCCUCGUUUCAGGCUCUUCAGUGUCAGUGCUCAGUAUCUGCCUUAGAGAACUACGAGAAGGGGCUGCUAGCAGCCGCCAUCCGGGGCACUGGGUGGCUGCAGGUGGUGGUGGCGAUGGAACGGUAGGAGGGCGGCCAGCAGCGGGAGCUUCUCCUGCCGGGCAGGAGGACGAGUAGAAGGGAGAGGCACCACCACAUGCUGGAGGCUGGAGCUUGCACCGCCGCAGCUCGCCUCACUGCAGUUGGAGGUGACGUUGGACACUACAGCUUGGCCAGAGUGGUAGAAAUGUUGUUGCAUAGGAUUACCAGGAGACACCAGGUGCUGCAGCAGCUUCGGGAUAACUUGAGGAUGCAUCCUGGGGAAGAGACACCUCUUGUCCAUGGCGCUGACUACUGAGGACAGCUUCGGUGUGGCUUUUCUGCGGCCAGCUUCUUUGAGGCCUUUUUCUUUCAUGGAUGGUAGAGAGCAGUCUACAGCCUGAGACCCAUCACAAGGAAGAUGUUGAGGCCAAGAGAGAUAGGACGACCAUGGGCCUCAUGCUGCCCAGGAAUAGCCCCGAUUACCCUGGCCCCCAGCUCCAUGCAGCCUGCAUGGCCAGGUUCCUUGUGAGACACCUGGGGGACUCCAAACAGCCGGAAUCCAUCUGCCCACUGGUCCGGAGACAGGGAUCCUCCGCCUCCUUCCAGGGUUGAUGGCUCAGGAGGCCUUCUCUGCAGGGGACCAGGACACAGGAAAGCCAGGAAGAGAUGAGCUGGGAAGGGAGCUGUUGGGGGCCAUUCUGGUUUUAAAAAUAAAGCAGGACUUUCGUUGCUUGUUAUAAAAGGAACACAUGCUCAUUUUCUGUGAUUUAGGAAAGCGCAGAAAAGUAAAAGGGAAAGAAGAACGUAGCCGCUGCCUAGCACCAGGGAAAAAAGGGCUGUAGUUUUUAGUGUCUGCCUAGACUGUAAAGUUCUAAACUCUAAAACUUGUACAACCCAUUGUUUAAUGGUUGUGUAAUACUCCAUCACAUGAGCACAUCAUGCCCUGGUUACCUGACCCUUACUGGCUAGAGAUGUGUGGUGUUCCUAAUUUUUGCUAUUUUAAAUAACCAUGGGAGGAACCACAUUAACAUGAAUCUUUGGGUGCAUUUGUGCUUUUUGCCUUAAAAUAGAUUUGUCGAUGUGGAAUUACUGGCCUGAAGGGUGCAAAUCUUUUUAAAGCUUUUGAUACAUACUGCUGGGGUUUAGCAACACCUUCCCAAGUUAGUCUCCUGACUAGAAGGGAAAGAGUGCCUGCCCUGCAGCCCCACCUGCAUUGUGAAUUUGUAUUAUUAAAAGAUAAGCCUUGCCAGAGGGACAUUUCUAGCUUGAAUGUGUGCCUGACACCGAUGUGAGCUCCGACAGUGUGCCUUGAACCCUGUGCCAGAUGCUGCAGAGGGCUGCAAAGUAAGGCGAAGGCUCUGCCUGUCUGCCUCACCUCUGGUAAUGAAAGAGGCCACUUCCUUUUUUGUUAUUUCUCCUAUAAUUUUUUUUUUUUUGAGAUGGAGUUUCACUCUUGUCACCCAGGCUGGA